GGAUGUGAAGUUGAUUUGACAUCUGUCACACCAUUGAUCACCAGGGUUGAUUUGGCUGAUGUGGAUGGCUAGGCAGGUGUCCACUUCCUCCCUCAUUCCACCAUCUGCAUUCUUUCUGAAGCUGUGUGCUUGGUUGAAAAGAAACCCUACCCUGAAUUGAAGAAGACUGGUGUUUGGUUAAGGGUAUACAAGAAGCUGAGCUCCCUGCUAGAACCUCCAAACAGGCUCUCAGUGGAGAAAGGAUAGCCUUCAAAACAGUACAGAAGCAAUUGUAAAACCCCCAGAUGCAAAACAAGUCAACUUUGAUCAUU
rnacentral:snRNA from 1 species